GUCAACGCAGCAGAAUCCGGUUAUGCAUAAGACCUAAACCCUUCCCAUGGGGGUUCAAAUCCCCCCGUCGACC
rnacentral:tRNA from 1 species